ensembl:lncRNA
ACAGGCAGUGGAAGCAGAGACAGGUACUGAGGGAAGAGUGAAAGGAAGCUGCUAGGCUGUGUAGGGCUGAGAUCAAGAAAUCCAAGGCCCAGCUUGAAUUUAACUUUGCAAGGGAUGCCAAGAAGAACAAGAAGGGCUUCCACAGGCUCCUCAGCCAGAAAAGGAAAGCCCAGGAGGUUGUGACCCCCUGGUGAGUGACACAGGCAAGCUGGUAACAGCUGACAAGGAGAAGGCUGGGGUACUUGACAACAUUUGUGCCUCAGUCUUGAUUCUAAUUACUGCUUAUCCAACAGCCCUCAAAUGCUUGGUUUGGUAGGUGGAGUCUGAGAAGGCCACAUCCCUCCCACUGUAGGCCAAGAUCAGGUUCGUGGCCACCUGAAGAUCCUGAACAUCCAGAACUGGAUGGGAUGCAUCCGAUGAGAUGCAUGCCAGAGUCCGGAGGGAACUGGCUGAUGUAGUUGCCAAGCCUCUCUCUAUGAGAUUUGAAAAGUGAAAAUCAGGUGAAGUCCCCGGUGACUGGAAAAAUGACAAUAUCACACCCAUUUUUAAGAAGGGUAACUAUCAACCUGUCAGUCUGACCUCUGUGCCAACAAACAUCAUGGAACAGAUCCUCCUGAGACCGAGGCUAAGGCACGUGGAAAGCAGGGAGCUGGUAUGGGAAAUGUGGCUUCACCAAGGGCAAAUCCUGCUUGGCCAAGUUAGGUGGCUGUUUAUGACGAUGUCAGCGCAUCAAUGGACAAGAGAUGAGACACUGAUGUCGUCUAUCUCAACUUCAGCAAGGCCUUUGACACAGUGCCACACAACAUCCUUCUCAUCAAACUGGAAAGAUAUGCAUUUGAUGGGUGGACUGUUUGAUGGAAGGAAAACUGGCUGCAGGAUCAAGUUCAGAGAGUUGUGGCUCAGUGUCUGAAUGGAGAUCAGUGUUGACUGGUGUCCCCCAGGCUGGGGCCAAUACUCUUUAAUAUCUUCUUCAGUGACACUGACAGUGGGAUUGAGGGCACCCUUAGCAAGACUGCUGAUGACACCGAGGUGUGGGGUGCGAUCAACACACCAGAGGGACGGGGUGCUCUUCAGAAGGACCGAGGCAGGCCAGAGCAGUUGGCCCAGGCAAACCACAUGAGAUUCAACAGAUCUAAAUGCAAAAUCUUUCACCGGAGUCAGGCUGGACUUGCACCGGGCAGGGGUCAGGCUGGACACCUCCCCAGGUCCCUGCUGGCCUGUGUUGUCUUGUGGUGCUAUAAUCUUCAUCUGAAACGCUGAUAAUAAAACUGGACAUCAUGUUUAAAAACUGUUUAUUUACAUUAAAAUCAAAGCCUACUUUCAAGUGAAUCAUGAAGUCAAAGGAGUUUGAAGUACGUGUAUUAACUGUUUGCUAAUCUGAAACGUAAGUUUCUUGGUAGAAAGAAAGAGCCAGGAUUGUUCCUUAUGCAAUGGUUCUAUCUCAAUAUAACCUUCAGUAAAGUGUUUAAAAUCCUGACAAUCCUUUUUCUCCAAACCAAAUAAAUGUUCCCACAAGCCUUUUCUCUCCCUUCUCUCUUUCCCUCUGUCUUUGCCUCUAUCCAUCUGUCCUCCUACAUCAUUUAACAAAUAUCCUUCUCUGUCUGAUCACCAGUUCUAAGAGGCUUUUGUACAGUGCCUUCAUUUCAGAAGUUUUUAACGUGUUUGCCUAUCUUAUUAUGCCUCCUUUGGUCCCCUCAGAAAACAGAUUUUCCCACUUCCCAAUAUGAUCAGUUAUUUUUUUAACCCUCCUUCCAUGGAUUUUUCCUCUUUCACUCAGUAAGCAGAUUUUUGAACUUUGCAUAAAAAUGUCUGUCAAUACGAAGAUAUGUUUUAC